CCGGCAGGGAGAAGCCGCAGAAUGUGCACCGUGCAGCUGCUGCGAGUGUCGGUCCACGAGCGGAUCAGCGCCGCCGCCGAAGACUUGUUGCUGCGGCUGGAGAAGGGAGAAGAAGCAGCCGAGCUCCCGACGAUGAGAGCGCUGCUGACCGAGCGGCUGACGGUGGCCGCGGAGGAGAUCGUCGCUCUGUUGGAGGAGACCGUGGCGGAGUACCAGGACAGAGUAGAGCGCUCGGAGCGGGAGAUCUGCCGUCAGAGGAGGCUGCUCGAUGCCGUGCUCAAGCCCGAAGUCCGGCUGCAAGCGGCAGGUUCUUCUACACACAGGAAAUACCUCCAUUGUGCAAACAGCCAGUCAGAGGACAGCUGAGAUUAAGGUGACUGUGCAGUGUGCAGAUCCUCUGCAGUCAGUGACGCUGUAUGACCCAAACGACCCCACAGACCAGGAUCCCUCCGAUCCAGAGGAGCACGAUGGCAGCAACGUUUCCUGUCCAUCAUCACCUCCUUCGCCCUCGCCAUCCUACCACCCACCCCUCUCUGAGAGCAGCGAUGGAGACCCGGACAGUGACUGGAUUGAACAUAGGCGGACUCUCAGACCUCUGAGGAGGAAGAAGCGUAGCCGUCCGGCGCUCAGUGUCACAAGCAACCGGAGGCGCUCGAGUCUGGCUCAGAGC
ensembl:lncRNA